rnacentral:rRNA from 1 species
GAUGAACGCUAGCGGGAGGCUUAACACAUGCAAGUCGAGGGGCAGCAUAGGGUAGCAAUACUCUGAUGGCGACCGGCAAACGGGUGAGUAACGCGUAUGCAACCUACCCUGUACAGGGGAUAACCCGGAGAAAUUCGGACUAAUAUCCCGUAAUAAUAUCCGGAGGCAUCUUUGGAUAUUUAAAGUUUCGACGGUACGGGAUGGGCAUGCGUAACAUUAGCUGGUUGGUAAGGUAACGGCUUACCAAGGCUAUGAUGUUUAGGGGUCCUGAGAGGGUGGUCCCCCACACUGGUACUGAGACACGGACCAGACUCCUACGGGAGGCAGCAGUGAGGAAUAUUGGUCAAUGGGCGCAAGCCUGAACCAGCCAUCCCGCGUGCAGGAAGACGGCCCUAUGGGUUGUAAACUGCUUUUCCAGGGAGAGAAACUUACGCACGUGUUGCGUGACUGACGGUACCCUGGGAAUAAGCAUCGGCUAACUCCGUG